rnacentral:lncRNA from 1 species
UGAAUUUAUAUCUGUUUGAAACUUUGACUGGUAGCAGUUAACAACAUUGGUACUGGUUAUGGAAUACACAAUGUAAUGGUUGAAAAUAAAUAGUGAAAGAGGCAAGUUUGAACACUUACACAUCAAGUUUGAACACUUACACAAACUCUAUUUAUGUAUUCCUUGAUGAUAGCAGCAGUAUGUUUUUUCUUGUAUUCCUUCCAAUGUGGAAAUAUAUUUUUUCUUGUAUUCCUUCCAAUGUGGAAAUAUGGGAACAUGGUUCCUGACUACAAUUUUGCACUUAGUUGCAAACUUUGCAGCAAUCAUCAUUGAGUUAGGCCUUUUCUUCCCUGGUUCAAUAACCAAAGGUAGUUUGCCUUUCCUCAAGAGCAAGUCAUCUGUUCAAGUUUUCUUCCAAUAUUAGGUCCCCUCAUCCAAUCCUCC